rnacentral:lncRNA from 1 species
AAAAGAUUGAGUAAAAUAUACAAAAAGAUGUUAUGAUUAUAUAGUAAAUUAUAUUCUUUAAAAUGAAGAAGGAGAAGUUAUAAGACAAAUACAAACAUAAUUAUCAAAUUCAAAAAAAUAAUGAAGAAGGAGAAGUUAUAGGACAAAUAUAAAUGUAGUUAUCAAAUUAAAAAAACAAAUCAAUUAAUUAUAAAUUGAAGUUGAGGAUAAUUAAGGAAUAAAAAUAGGCCACACAAAUACAAAGAUAAUUAUAAAUUCAAAAAAAUAAUGAAAAAGGAGAAGUUAUAGGACAAAUAUAAAGGUAGUUAUCAAAUUAAAAAAAAACAAAUCAAUUAAUUAUAAAUGAAAGUUGAGGAUAAUUAAG